rnacentral:rRNA from 1 species
CCCAGACUCCUACGGGAGGCAGCAGUGGGGAAUAUUGCACAAUGGGGGAAACCCUGAUGCAGCGACGCCGCGUGAGUGAGGAAGUAUUUCGGUAUGUAAAGCUCUAUCAGCAGGGAAGAAAAAAUGACGGUACCUGACUAAGAAGCACCGGCUAAAUACGUGCCAGCAGCCGCGGUAAUACGUAUGGUGCAAGCGUUAUCCGGAUUUACUGGGUGUAAAGGGAGCGCAGGCGGUACGGCAAGUCUGAUGUGAAAGCCCGGGGCUCAACCCCGGUACUGCAUUGGAAACUACCGGACUGGAGUGUCGGAGGGGUAAGUGGAAUUCCUAGUGUAGCGGUGAAAUGCGUAGAUAUUAGGAGGAACACCGGUGGCGAAGGCGGCUUACUGGACUGUAACUGACGUUGAGGCUCGAAAGCGUGGGGAGCAAACAGGAUUAGAUACCCUCGUAGC